rnacentral:rRNA from 1 species
GGCCACAGCCAUAUCACCCUGCAGCCCAAGACUGGUUGCCCACUGAAGCUAAGCAGGUUUGAGCCUGGUUAGUACCUGGAUGGGAGACCUCCUGGGAAAACUAGGUUGCUGUUGGAA